UAUGGCCACAUCACAUUGAAACACAUGUUUCCAUACAAUCACCGAAGUUAAGCAAUGUCGAGCCUGGUCAGUACCUAGACGGAUUACCGCUUGGGAAUACCAGGUGCUGUAAG
rnacentral:rRNA from 1 species